rnacentral:rRNA from 1 species
CAAUAGCGUAUAUUAAAGUUGUUGCGGUUAAAAAGCUCGUAGUUGGAUUUCUGCCGAGGACGACCGGUCCGCCCUCUGGGUGAGCAUCUGGGACGGCCUGGGCAUCCUCUUGGGGAACGUAGCUGCACUUGACUGUGUGGUGCGGUAUCCAGGACUUUUACUUUGAGGAAAUUAGAGUGUUCACGGCAGGCAAACGCCCUGAAUAUGUUAGCAUGGAAUAAUAAUAUAGGACUUUGGUUUUAUUUUGUUUGGUUUCUAGAACUAAAGUAAAUGAUAAAUAAGGGACAGUUGGGGGUUAGUUUGUAUUAAUGCGUCAGAGGUGGAAUUCUUGGAUUGCAUUACGACAAACUACUGCGAAAGCAUUUACCAAGGAUGUUUUUCUAUUGAUCAAGAACGAAAG